rnacentral:tRNA from 1 species
GCCGAAGUGGCGGAAUUGGCAGACGCACACGACUCAAAAUCGUGCGGGUAACCAUGGGGGUUCGAGUCCCCCCUUCGGCACCA